CAGUAGCCGCGGUAAUACGUAGGUCCCGAGCGUUGUCCGGAUUUAUUGGGCGUCAAGGGCUCGCAGGCGGUUUCUUAAGUCUGAUGUGAAAGCCCCCGGCUCAACCGGGGAGGGUCAUUGGAAACCGGGAAACCUGAGUGCAGAAGAGGAGAGUGGAAUUCCACGUGUAGCGGUGAAAUGCGUAGAGAUGUGGAGGAACACCAGUGGUGAAGGCGACUCUCUGGUCUGUAACUGACGCUGAGGAGCGAAAGCGUGGGGAGCGAACAGGAUUAGAUACCCCUGUAGUCCCUGUCUCUUAUAC
rnacentral:rRNA from 1 species